rnacentral:misc_RNA from 1 species
AAAAUAACAAUGGCGGCGAAUGAACAGAAGAAAAAGAAGAGGAAGAGUGAAUCCAUGGAUAUUGCUGAAGUCCAGCACUCCGAAAAUUUUCUUCUGAAGCCUUCAAGUGUUGUCGAACAGCUGGAUACAUCCCAAUGGCCCCUAUUGCUAAAGAAUUUUGACAAACUGAAUGUCAGAACUGCACACUACACACCCAUUCCUGCUGGAUACUCCCCACUGAAAAGACCAAUUCAAGAAUAUCUCAAGAGUGGUUUUAUCAAUCUUGACAAACCAGCAAACCCUUCAUCACAUGAGGUUGUAUCAUGGGUGAAGAGAAUUUUGCGUGUACAGAAAACUGGGCACAGUGGAACACUUGAUCCUAAAGUAACAGGUUGUCUGAUUGUCUGCAUAGAACGAGCCACACGAUUGGUCAAAUCACAACAAGGGGCGGGCAAGGAGUAUGUUUGUAUCUUCAAACUUCAUAGUGCUGUAGAAGAUGAAAAACUGGUCGCACAGAAAAUCGAGAUGAUGACUGGGGCACUGUUUCAGAGACCUCCCUUAAUUUCAGCUGUGAAAAGACAGUUAAGAAUUCGAACAAUCUAUGAGUGCAAGAUGUGGGAGUACAAUAAAGAGGAUGCAAUGGGUAAAAAAAUAUUUAAUAUACAGUCUGUAUGAUAUACCUGUAAACUUUAUUUGAACUCACUAAAAUCUGAGACUGUUAAAUUACUGUAAACAUAUUACAUUUGGCUCUGUAUUCUCUUUAGCGUUUUUGGCGGAAUACGUCUUCCGCUAAAUCAAGUACAUUGCUAAAUGACAUACAUACAUACAUGUAAAAGAAUAGGCACAUUCUAGAAUACGCUAAUUCAAAUCCAAGCCAACGUGUUCAAAAACUAUUUUCCGCCAAAUAUAAUACGUUUACAGUAACCUUAAAAUACUGUUCUACUUAUUCUUCUGAGGAAGCUUUAUUUAGGUGUUAAACAGCAUUUAGUAUUGCUUACAUUAAUGGUGCGUUCACACCUUACUCAGGUAUUUUCUGGGUGAGCUGCGAGGCUGGCACAUACAUUAGGACCAUGCAUGACGUAAUGGAUGCACAAUGGACGUACGACCAUCACAAGGAUGAAUCUUAUCUACGGCGAGUCGUCAACCCACUGGAAGCUCUGUUAACCUCUCAUAAAAGAAUCAUCAUGAAAGAUACUGCUGUUAAUGCUGUGUGUUAUGGAGCUAAAAUUAUGUUGCCCGGUGUCUUAAGAUACGAAGAUGGAAUUGAAGUGAAUGAUGAAAUAGUGAUUGUAACAACAAAAGGAGAGGCUGUUGCUCUUGCCAUUGCUCAGAUGACCACAGCAGUCAUGGCCACUUGUGAUCAUGGAAUUGUAGCCAAAAUCAAAAGGGUUGUAAUGGAGAGAGACACAUAUCCAAGGAAGUGGGGGCUGGGCCCUGUGGCAAUGAAGAAAAAGAAAAUGAUCCAGGAGGGAACACUAGAUAAAUAUGGCAAGCCAAACGAAAAGACGCCGUCUAACUGGAAGAAAGGCUAUGAGGACUUUAACAUUAAAAAGGAACCUACAGAGGAUACCCCUGUAAAGGAGAACUCUCACAAGGUAAUUACAGUAGAAUCGCUAAAAUAUGUGGGGGCCAAUUUUCAUGGAUUGUAAGUUUUUUGUUUAUUUGUGGGGAUGUAUUUUUGUGGAUGCUUUCGUUUUUAGUAUAAGAAAGCUAACCCUUUUAAAGUUUGUUUGCAUCGAGGAUGUAAAUUCUUGGGAGAGGGCUACCAACGAAAACCACGAAAAUUGAGCCAUCACAAAUUCUAAUGAUUCCACAGUAUAGGAAAAUAAGAAAAUGUUAGAAUCAUAUCUUCCGAGGGGCAAUUUAAUUUCCACAAAGCAUUAUUAAUUUACUUUUUUAUUCUGAUAUAAUUUGAUAUAUGACCAUUCAUACAUAAAUUCAAUCUCUAUCCAAGGAAAUGUCAGCUUGACGCCUUUAAGGCUGUUCUGGGCUCUGAUUUUUUACCAUGUAUGAUCAUGAAAUGUUAAGUCUAUAAAUGUAAAGGCUUUAAUGUGGAUUAACUUUACAGAGAAAGAAGGAAGCUAGUAGUUCUGAUGAGAGUGAGCCACCAUCUCCCAAACCUGUAGAAAAUGAUGAGACGGAGAAAAAGAAGAAGAAAAAGAAGAAGAAAGACAAGGACCAGGAAGCGGACGAGGCUGGAGAUGCUCCUGAGGAGUCUCCGGAAA